rnacentral:lncRNA from 13 species
CUUAGCUAUUCAUUAAAGCAAAACAAAACAAGGACAUUCUGCCAGUCAAUUGUCCGGUGCUGGCUGCCCCUUCACUUCACUGGGAAAAACAAAACAAAACAAACAGUAAAAACCUCAGCAUUUCUUCGAGGACAUUCUAGUCUGGAAGUCCAAGAUCGAGGUGCCAUCAAGGUUGAUUUCAGCUGUGGUCUCUCUUCCUGGCUUAUAGACAGCUAUCUUCUUGCAGUGUCCUUACAUGGCCUCUUUGUGUGAAGGGCAUUUCUAUUGGGCACAUUUUUACAUCUUCGCUCUCCAGUGACUCAAGAGAAGUCCCAAGGUGAUAAUAUAAAAUAUUUGAUACUAAUGUGUCAAAAUUCUAUCACCUUAUAUUAGCAUGGUUUCGGAGGAUAUGAGAGAGGUAUAUGAGGUUAAUUAUUCAUAAGGAAACUUAAAAGAAUAAAUAAAAGACCAAUUUAAAGAUUAAGCCA